rnacentral:pre_miRNA from 1 species
AAGCGUAUGCGACGUUGAUAUGUCUGGUAUUCUUGGGUUAGAUUUGGUUAACCAGUAUCUCAGACGUAUCAUCGUUGUGUACGUGUAUGA